GAUGAAGAACGUAGCGAAAUGCGAUAAGUAAUGUGAAUUGCAGAAUUCAGUGAAUCAUCGAAUCUUUGAACGCACCUUGGGCCCUUUGGCCAUUCCGAAGGGCUUGCCUGUUUGAGUAUCAUGAACACCUCAACUCUUUAUGGUUUUCCAUGAUGAGCUUGGACUCUGGGGGUUUUGCUGGCUCACAGUCGGCUCCUCUAAAAUGAAUCAGCUUACCAGUGUUUGGUGGGUAUCAUGGGUGUGAUAACUAUCUACGCUUGUGGUUUUUCCACCAGGUAACCUUCAGCAGUGGAGGUUCGCUGGAGCUCAUAGAUGUCUCUCCUCAGUGAGGACAGCCCUUUGAAUGUUUGAUCUCAAAUCAGGUAGGACUACCCGCUGAACUUAAGCAUAUCAAUAAGCGGGA
rnacentral:misc_RNA from 1 species